AAGAGUUGCAAAACUCCCACAAACCAUCGCGAACGUUACCCAGACGUCGUUGCUUCGGCGGGCUCGCCCGCCGGGGGGGACGCUACCAGACUCUUGCAGUUCUUCGGCCUCUCUGAGUAUGAUUUUUUAAAUAAGUCA
rnacentral:misc_RNA from 1 species